CAUCACUACGCUAGAUGCAUAUCAAUAAGCGGAGGAAAAGAAACUAACAAGGAUUCCCUUAGUAACGGCGAGUGAAGCGGGAAGAGCUCAAAUUUGAAAUCUUCAAGGUUUUACCUUGACGAAUUGUAGUUCAAAGAAGUGUUUUCUGCUGAAGUUUUGGUAAAAGUUCUUUGGAAUAGGACAUCAUAGAGGGUGAGAAUCCCGUAUUUGACCAUUAUUUUCAGCUUUGUGAUACACUUUCAAAGAGUCGGAUUGUUUGGGAAUGCAGUCCAAAAUGGGUGGUAAAUUUCAUCUAAAGCUAAAUAUUGGCGAGAGACCGAUAGCGAACAAGUACCGUGAGGGAAAGAUGAAAAGAACUUUGAAAAGAGAGUUAAACAGUACGUGAAAUUGUCAAAAGGGAAGCGUUUGACACCAGUGUUGUUUAGUUGAAAAUCAAUUCAAUAGUUUUUGAUUCUAAGUAGUAUUGACUUCAUCAGCUUGCUGCUUUCUUCUCAGAAAUUAUUGAAUGCACUUUUCAGUUAACAAGUCAACAUCAAUUUCUUUUGUUGUAAAAGGGUAAGAGGAAGGUGGCUUGCGCUUCGGCUCAAGUGUUUAUAGCCUUUUAUCUCUGCAAUCGGAGAGAUUGAGGUCUGCAGCGUAGAUCCUUCGGGGUUAGAUACAUUGGUGCUAAGCUAUAGCCUUGUAUAGACAACUUGUUGACUAUGCUCAGUCAUGUAGCUUACUCGCUAGAUGCUAUUUUACCUACGCUUAGGAUGUUGACACACGCGCGUGCUCG
rnacentral:rRNA from 1 species